rnacentral:rRNA from 1 species
CGUAGGGUGCAAGCGUUAAUCGGAAUUACUGGGCGUAAAGUGUGCGCAGGCGGCCGCGCAAGUCGAGUGUGAAAGCCCCGAGCUUAACUUGGGAACUGCGCUCGAAACUACGUGGCUGGAGUGUGGCAGAGGGAGGUGGAAUUCCACGUGUAGCGGUGAAAUGCGUAGAGAUGUGGAGGAACACCGAUGGCGAAGGCAGCCUCCUGGGCCAACACUGACGCUCAUGCACGAAAGCGUGGGGAGCAAACAGGAUUAGAUACCCUGGUAGUCCACGCCCUAAACGAUGACGACUAGUUGUUGGAGGAGUUAAAUCCUUUAGUAACGCAGCUAACGCGUGAAGUCGUCCGCCUGGGGAGUACGGUCGCAAGAUUA